rnacentral:misc_RNA from 1 species
GCUGUGCCCAGCUGACUAAUGACUAAUUCAUGUUAUUUGUUGAGUUAACAGGUGGAAUGGAUCAAAUCAAUGAUCAGCACCAUCCAUUUCUCUCACAUGCUGAGGUACCUGAUUGGCUUUCAUAUGCCAUACAUCAUCGUUAAAGGCAAUCUGACACCGAGGGACACUGACCGCAACCCCUGGUUGGUGUCUGUCUCUGGGUUAAAGGUGCAUGACCGGGAGCAGUUGGCGCGCUUCAAGGCUCUUGGACAGACAGACAACUACACGGUGCUGUUCCCUCAGCAUCCCUGUGUCAUCCUGUCAGCGUUGGACGUGCUCGGGUUCCACGUGGUAACAUCGUGUCCGGGCGUCUCGGAGGACGGCACCAGCUACGUGUGGACGCUCAAGAAGGAUCUGCCGUCGCCAGACGAGACCGAGGACAGCGACAACUGAGGGGCAGGCUCCAAAAUGCCAGAAGUCAAACAUUACAUCGCCGUCAAGGGCUCCCUCUUCGCCACCGAGACGUACAUCUUUGGCAUCAACGAUAGCCAUUUCCAGGAGGAGGCAUUGAAGCUGGGCGUCACGGACCUGACCGUCUCGCCCUGCGUCAACGGCGUGAUCCUCAACCGCGACCCCAUGUACGUCGUCAACCUGGUGUCGCGCUUCGGCUAUGAGGUGAUUGCGGCCUCCGGGGGCCAGGAGUGCAUGUGGACAAUGCGACGCACCAUCGAGGUGUAGUGCCGCCGUCGGCCGUCGCGCGGCGCCACCUGUCGAGCGCGAUGUCAGCUGUGCCAUGUGCGGCGUGCGGUGAUGCGCCGCGGGGGCUUCAGUGCUGCUGCUGCUUUUAGAUGUAGUCCUCUGGCUGGGAGCCGCUGUUUGUGCCGUGGCGCUCCCGAGCGAAGGAGAUGCUCCGCAGCACCCCUGUACUCCUUGCGCGCGCGGUCAGAUCCAGGCAGUGGAACUGGCGUCUCGGUCAGUGCCGCUAAGAAUGGUUCACCGCUAUGGGCCCAAACGAUGAAAUUCGCUCCCCACUGACGUUGGUUCCUCGUUAUCACCGCCCUCGCGCCGCCAGACCGUGCCGACCCUACUGUAGGAACCCUGGGCCAUUUGUUCGGAGCCGUCAUCUUCCUUGCGCCUCCAGAGCGAACCGCGGAACUGUAACAACCGCCAGUCGGCCAGCCGUCAGUGACGUGAAAUGUCAAAAAAGCGGGUGACGUCAAACCGUUACCCGCUUCUUUUAGUUUCGCUUUCUUAGAAUUAGGACUUGCUAAGGCAGCCCAAGGCUGUGUAGAUGUGCUGCAUGCGUCGGCAUUUGACAUGACCCCCGGGCCGUCGUACUUCCGUGGUCACGUUGCGUGGCGUUCUCUUCCGCGGGUGGUAGCUGUCUGCGACCUUUUUGCAGUGUUCCGCGUGUCCCGCGCGGUGGUGAUGUCGAGAUGCCACGAACACCGCCGUGCCCGCCCUGCAGCGCGUCACCGGUGUGUGCCAUAUUCAUGAACGCUGGUGCCGCUCUUCGGCUGUGCUUCCUGCCGACAGUGCGUGCCAUCUCACGCUUGCCCUCUGGGCCCCUCCAAUACACUAUACACUCAGCA